AUUGAACGCUGGCGGCAUGCUUUACACAUGCAAGUCGAACGGCAGCGCGGGCUUCGGCCUGGCGGCGAGUGGCGAACGGGUGAGUAAUGCAUCGGAACGUGCCCAGUCGUGGGGGAUAGCCCGGCGAAAGCCGGAUUAAUACCGCAUCCGACCUGAGGGUGCAAGCGGGGGACCGAAAGGCCUCGCGCUAUUGGAGCGGCCGAUGUCGGAUUAGCUAGUUGGUGGGGUAAAGGCUUACCAAGGCGACGAUCCGUAGCUGGUCUGAGAGGACGACCAGCCACACUGGGACUGAGACACGGCCCAGACUCCUACGGGAGGCAGCAGUGGGGAAUUUUGGACAAUGGGGGCAACCCUGAUCCAGCCAUGCCGCGUGCGGGAAGAAGGCCUUCGGGUUGUAAACCGCUUUUGUUCGGGAAGAAAUCCUCUGGGCUAAUACCCCGGGGGGAUGACGGUACCGGAAGAAUAAGCACCGGCUAACUACGUG
rnacentral:rRNA from 1 species